AGUGAACGCUGGCGGUAGGCCUAACACAUGCAAGUCGAACGGCAGCACAGAGGAGCUUGCUCCUUGGGUGGCGAGUGGCGGACGGGUGAGGAAUACAUCGGAAUCUACUCUGUCGUGGGGGAUAACGUAGGGAAACUUACGCUAAUACCGCAUACGACCUACGGGUGAAAGCAGGGGAUCUUCGGACCUUGCGCGAUUGAAUGAGCCGAUGUCGGAUUAGCUAGUUGGUGGGGUAAAGGCCCACCAAGGCGACGAUCCGUAGCUGGUCUGAGAGGAUGAUCAGCCACACUGGAACUGAGACACGGUCCAGACUCCUACGGGAGGCAGCAGUGGGGAAUAUUGGACAAUGGGCGCAAGCCUGAUCCAGCCAUACCGCGUGGGUGAAGAAGGCCUUCGGGUUGUAAAGCCCUUUUGUUGGGAAAGAAAUCCAGCCGGCUAAUACCUGGUUGGGAUGACGGUACCCAAAGAAUAAGCACCGGCUAACUUCGUGC
rnacentral:rRNA from 1 species